rnacentral:rRNA from 1 species
GACGAACCGAGCGAACGUUGUUCGGAAUAACUGGGCUUAAAGGGCGCGUAGGCGGGCUGUCAAGUCUGGGGUGAAAUCCCGCGGCUCAACCGUGGAACUGCCUCAGAUACUGACGGCCUCGAGGGAGGUAGGGGCGAGCGGAACUAAUGGUGGAGCGGUGAAAUGCGUUGAUAUCAUUAGGAACUCCGGUGGCGAAGGCGGCUCGCUGGACCUUUUCUGACGCUGAGGCGCGAAAGCUAGGGGAGCAAACGG